UCUGAGGAGCCAGCACAAAGGAAAAUGAGGAGUUGGUGGUUUUAAAGAAUGCAGCUAUACACAGAGUAAAACAGGAGAGAAACAGAAGACAACUCACAUGGGGGAGAUCAUGAGAAAAAGCCACUGGGCCAGUGACCCCACCCCCCCCAUGUCAAGAGCAGACCAUUCCAAUCCUGAGGAUGGAACAACGCCUACGGUGACCCAUCCAUCAACAGAAGACUUCUGCAGAUGUCCAUUUACAACUGAAGCAACACUCUUUGAUCCAAGCGGAAAUUACUUGUGCUACCUUCAUGGCACCAAACUACAAGUACAGGAGGAAUUCAUUCAUUUACAAGGACCACAGGUGUGCAUCUCAGGCACACCCUCCUAUAUUCAAAGUCUCUAUUAUAAAAGCAAAUAUCUGACUCUGGGUAAUAUUUAUUACAUCUUGGUCAGUUUAAUUUUAUAAUAUAACUUAAAAUGUUAACAGUCAGGUGGCAGGGACAUGAAACUCCAUCGGCCCCAAUUUAAACUUAAAAUCCUUGGUGUAUUUUUAUAGGUAAUUUAAAGCCCUCUUUGGAGUAAGAAUAAGUAUAAAUACACACAUUAAAAUCAUCUGCAUCCAACCCCAUCAUCUGAAGGUGAAAAUGGGGCCAAGUGUGACCUGCCCAGGGUCAUAUCAGCCAUGCAGCUGAGGGUGGUGGUUCCCAGGAUCCAGCCUCCUCUCGGUAGCCUCCAUGCAAAGCUACAUGGCUUCCCUUUGGGCUAAUGUUACAGUUAGGACACAAGACAAUAAUUGGGAUGCUUCCAACCUUUUGGAUUCCAACCACACAGGAUGAUUCUUCUGUCAUUGGGGUUGGUUUUGAUUGUGUCAAUCACCUUUUGCAGUUGAUCUACUCCUUGACCUGAAUAAUCUGUAGAAUCGUCAAAAAAGAGAAGACAUGUCCACAUAUCAAUCACAGGAUCUUAUGAGAUGACCUUAGAGGCCAUCCACCACUGUCCUACCACAGCCCCCCUGUGGCCACACUACAAGAUGAACUCCUACCUUAUUCCCCAACACAGCAACCAACUGACCAACCAGCAGACCAACUAUCUGCUAGCGAAACAAGCUACAGAAAGUACCAAGCACCCAAUAAAAACUAACAACCAAGAGUGUGAUCUACCUGAAUCUGAAACAGCCUCUCACAAGGUCAAAGUUCUAUAUAUAUCAGCUCCUCAGACUGGCUUCUUACAACCCCAACUUCACUAGAAACAAUGGAGCAAACUCAUGCUAUACCAGAUGCUCAGGAAAUUAAGGCUUUGCUCUGUUUUCUCACCUGAAUCCUUAUCUUUGUAUUCUGCCCCAAAAUGCCUCCACUGAAAGCCAUAAACUGGGCCUAAAUCCCCUUCUUCUCUGUUGGAGAAUCCUAGGCUGUCCAAGAAGUUUCGGGACCCAUUGGCAUCCCAGAUUUUCACUCCCUUGGAUGACAGUUCCUUAGCGUUUGUAGAUCCCUGGAAGAGACAGGACAACAGAGAAGGCAUCCAAGUGAACUGAGCCAUAAGGAGUUGAUAGCCCAAGAGCUUCCCACCAAUUAGGCCUCUGGCCCGUGCUAACACACCAGGGACAGGCACUCACACGUCCUGCACAGCUGGACAUCCCAUCUUUAAAGGCCAGUCCCAGCUGACUUUUUGAGGGCCUCUAGGGCAGUUUUCUGGUAUCACUUCCAGGACAGGUGAUUCUUGGAAUUAUUACCCUUUCAAAUCUUUUCUCCUAUUCUUCUCAACUAAAUGUUCUAGAUUAAACACCUCCAAAUCCUUUCAUUAUUCCCACCUCGCCUAACAGUCUUGUGCUUUUUAACAAAACGUGUGUCUAAGUGUGAUCCCCCAAAAUGCACUUAAUGCCUCACCUGCAGUCUGUUCAGUGUAUCUUAGACCUGGUUGGUACAUAGGCUAUUUCACUAAUUGGUGUAAUCGGUAUCAGCUUUUCUUGCAAAUCUAUCAUCCACGUUAUAUGUGCCACUGUCGAGUUAUGCUUACCCCAACCUAUAUAUGCAGUUAAGGUGGUGUUUUGUUUUUUCCCAAGUACGAGCCCAUGUUUAUUUCUUAUAUUUAAUCUCAUCAGAUGUGGCCCAUAUCAUCCUAACCUAUGUCCUGAUUGUGCCUCCAGGUCACAGACAGAUCUCAACGGCCUCUGGGUAGGACAUGCUGUAAUGGGGACAAACAAGGCUGUGGUGCCACACACGCACACCGGGGCUCUGUGCCUGCCCUCCACGACCCUUCUCUGACAGCUCCCUGACCCCCUGGCCUUGCUAUCUCCAUCCACAGAAGAGCUCAGUAUUCCCCCCACACAGUAGUGUGAGGGUAGAGGACACAAAGUGCUCAGUGCACCACAGAUCCUAACUUCAGCACAGACCCCGUCUCUCCGUCCUGCCCACGGAUGCCAGCAGCAGUGCAGGUUCAUUCUGACUCCUGUGUUUCAUCCAGUCACUCAGGGAGCAACUCUAUCAGAGGGGAGCCUGACACGUUCCUGGUAAAGGGUUCUUAGAAUCCUGAAUUCAAGCUAAAUUAAAAGAAGCGACUGCAUUUA